rnacentral:tRNA from 1 species
UCCAGGGUAGCCUAGUGGACAUGGCAUCUGCCCGGUAAGCGGAAGGUUGUGGGUUCGAUUCCCGCCCCUGGUAA